rnacentral:rRNA from 1 species
GUGGGGAAUCUUGCGCAAUGGGCGAAAGCCUGACGCAGCCAUGCCGCGUGAAUGAUGAAGGUCUUAGGAUUGUAAAAUUCUUUCACCGGGGACGAUAAUGACGGUACCCGGAGAAGAAGCUCCGGCUAACUUCGUGCCAGCAGCCGCGGUAAUACGAAGGGGGCUAGCGUUGCUCGGAAUUACUGGGCGUAAAGGGCGCGUAGGCGGACAGCUUAGUCAGAGGUGAAAGCCCAGGGCUCAACCUUGGAAUUGCCUUUGAUACUGGCUGUGUUGAGUUUGGGAGAGGUGAGUGGAACUCCGAGUGUAGAGGUGAAAUUCGUAGAUAUUCGGAAGAACACCAGUGGCGAAGGCGACUCACUGGCCCAAUACUGACGCUGAGGCGCGAAAGCGUGGGGAGCAAACAGGAUUAGAAACCCUGGUAGUCC